rnacentral:snRNA from 1 species
UUGCUUGCCUAGGCAGCCUAUAGGAUAAAUUUGAAUCGAUACAGUGAAGAUUAGCAUGGCCCCUGCGAAAGGAUGACACGCAAAUUCGUGAAGCGUUUCCACAUUUU